UACAGAGGGUGCAAGCGUUAAUCGGAAUUACUGGGCGUAAAGUGUGCGCAGGUGGCCGCGCAAGUCGAGUGUGAAAAUCCCCCGAGCUUAACUUGGGAAUUGCGCUCGAAACUACGUGGCUAGAGUGUGGCAGAGGGAGGUGGAAUUCCACGUGUAGCGGUGAAAUGCGUAGAGAUGUGGAGGAACACCAAUGGCGAAGGCAGCCUCCUGGGCCAACACUGACACUCAUGCACGAAAGCGUGGGGAGCAAACAGG
rnacentral:rRNA from 1 species